rnacentral:lncRNA from 1 species
CAACAAAUAAAACCUGAAUUUCACUGACUGCUCAGGAGUUGGCCUGGACGACAUGAGUAUCCCAAAUAUCUCCAUGGAUUCCACCAAUUUCCUACCAAGGGACACAUAAUCUGCAAGAAACAAAGGAUGGAAAUCCUGAGAAACGAAAACUGCUUUCAAACAGCACCCCAGCUGGGAACAAAACAAAAAGCAAAAGACUGAACACGUCAAAUCAACAGCAGACAACUUGAUUUUAUACAUGGAAUAAUCAAAGAAAGUCCUCUCUCACUUCCUCUUUGCCCCGUGGAAUUUUUCUUGGAGUUUCCCUUCUCCUUGUUUGCCGUUUUUUGUUCAAUGGUAGCAAGUGCCAAUUACGGCCAAUCCCUGUCAAUCCUGGGAGGUUUAUAUUCGUACAUAGUGUGGUAUAUUUCAAUGUAUUUUAAUUCAUUUUGCAAUUUCUGUAUAUGCAAACCUGGCAAAUUCUGUAAAUUGCUUAUAGUACGUGUGAUGUGACUUCAAGGUAGAUAGGCUAUGAUGCUCAUGCAAGCUGACUUUCUUCAUCCUAUAUACAAAUAUAUACAUGAGCAUAUAUUAGGCUACCAACUUCUUUUCCCAAAGCCUUUGUUUUUUCAUUUGUAACUCAUGUAUUGUGUGAAUUUUGUAGCGUAUUUCUCUGUCCCACUGAUUUGACAGCUACAGUUUGUCUCCGUUGUCCUUCCUUCUGGAAAUAUUUAAAAUUGUGUAUGUCUCUGAUAAAUGAGUUAAUUUUUGCUCUGUGUAUGCUAUGUUGGAAUUUGCUGUGUUCUUUUACACAUGUAUUUAUUAAGGUCUAGGGAUCUUGAGUCUGAGGAAUGCACACCUAGUUUUUGACAGAUCCCCUCGUGUUAUCAAUAUUCUAUCUCAGAGAAAAAGAAAGGCCAAGUGUGAGAGCUAAGAAGACAUUUUGACUCCCCAAGAUCCUGGAAGAGCACUUCACGCUCUGACUAAAUAAUGCUGCUUCCUUUGUUCUUCAAGACUUUUUUUCAUAGCUUUGUCAUUCUGUUAUUUGCUGCUAAUUAUAUUUUAAUGUCUACUAAUUAAAAAUUAAAAUGUGAUUGUUGGCUGAAUACAAUAUGCAAAUGACUGCAAAGCCCAUACUGAAGAAGAUAGGUGUUUAAUCUUCACUCAAUAAUUAUAAUUUUAAAUAUUCCAUCGUUAUUUUUUGACUUUAUGAUAUUUUGUUUAGGCCUGUUCUAAUUACAUCUUUCUCUGGCAAAGAAAGAUAGAACAAUCAAUGAAUUCCCUCUUAGUAUGGAAGGGUUGUGGCUUAAGAAAGAACACAUCCAGAUAGUCUUCCAGAGAUAAUAAUUUAUUUUCAUUAUAAAACCAGAAACCAUAUAUGUAGGAAUGGUCCACUCCCAAUGUAAGGCCCUAAAUUGUAGCUUGAAGGAAAUGAAUUUAUUUGCUUUUUUAUGGUAAACGACUGGACUCUGCCAUGCACUUAUAAGCAAUGUGAAUAUUUUCAUAAAGUUCUUGACAUUCUCCUUUAAGAAAUAUUGUUUUAUGCUAAAUCUUUCCUUGCCAUUUUUCUUGUUUCAUUUGAUUCAUUGUUUCAUUCUAAUAAAGAAAAUAAAGGUUUAAUUAUACUUUAUUAACAUACAAAUGUAUUUUCAUUCUAAAGAUAUUUAGAUAUUUCUAAAUAUCUGAAAGUUGUAUAAAAUGAUGAUGGAUAAAUAUUAUCUGUUCAGUCUCUUUAAGCUUUAAAAAUCCCAUACAUUACAGUAUAUAUUAGUAUACUGAUUUAAAGUCAAUCAAACUGGGAAAACACAUCUUGUAUUAUACUUUUACUCAAUGUCCAGGUAAUGGUAUCAGCUAAUUUUACAGCAAGUCAAACUUGUACCCUUAUCAUAAAUGUUCACCAUGCUUGUAAUAAAAGGACAUAUGCUAGUUUGGGAAGAAUGCUCACUAGAUUCAUUGUAUCAGUGUCCAAAAUAAUAAAGACCUGUUUAUCACUGUGUGACCAAAGUCCACCCUACCCUCCACUUUGUUAAAAGAAUAUAGCAAACUAUCUGUUUGCUCCAAACUCCAAAAGAGUAUGGAACUUUAAAUAUCAGAGCAGAAAAUACAGCAGAUCAAUGAGAUAUUCUAAACAUUUGUAUACUAUACUCUAUUCCUUUGGGAAUAUAACUUUGUGUGUAUCCAUGAGUAUGGAAAAGAAUAGAAAAUACAAACAAAAAGUAUCUGGCUUUUGCAACCUUGUUUCCAAGUUUAUAUAGUAUCUUUUAUAAGAGAGACUUAUAAAAAGCUGGAAUUGCUUUCUUUGUUUCUUAAAGACUUGUAGACAGUUUAAAAGACAAAGGAGGCAAAUAAAAAUGCUCCUGAACAAAGUAAGGUGGUAGAAUUCUUGAAAAUAGAAGCUAUGAUUUGUUAGACUUC